UCGAUUCCCUUAGUAGCGGCGAGCGAAACGGGAAGAGCCCAAACCAACAAGCUUGCUUGUUGGGGUUGUAGGACACUCUAUACGGAGUUACAAAGGACGACAUUAGACGAAUCAUCUGGAAAGAUGAAUCAAAGAAGGUAAUAAUCCUGUAGUCGAAAAUGUUGUCUCUCUUGAGUGGAUCCUGAGUACGACGGAGCACGUGAAAUUCCGUCGGAAUCUGGGAGGACCAUCUCCUAAGGCUAAAUACUCUCUAGUGACCGAUAGUGAACCAGUACCGUGAGGGAAAGGUGAAAAGCACCCCGGAAGGGGAGUGAAAUAGAACCUGAAACCGUGUGCUUACAAGUAGUCAGAGCCCGUUAAUGGGUGAUGGCGUGCCUUUUGUAGAAUGAACCGGCGAGUUACGAUUUGAUGCAAGGUUAAGCAGUAAAUGUGGAGCCGUAGCGAAAGCGAGUCUGAA
rnacentral:rRNA from 1 species